GUUAUCUUAAAAUUUAACUUUCAUUGGAUAAUUGGAAACACCUAAAAACAUAUUGAACUUAUGUGUGAAAUAAUUAUUAGACAUAUUUACUAUAUAUAUAAUAUGGGAAACAUGUUAAAGUUUAAUUGGAUAACAAA
rnacentral:rRNA from 1 species